rnacentral:rRNA from 1 species
GCAACGCGAAGAACCUUACCAGGCCUUGACAUGCAGAGAACUUUCCAGAGAUGGAUUGGUGCCUUCGGGAACGUCUGACACAGGUGCUGCAUGGCUGUCGUCAGCUCGUGUCGUGAGAUGUUGGGUUAAGUCCGUAACGAGCGCAACCCUUGUCCUUAGUUACCAGCACGUUAUGGUGGGCACUCUAAGGAGACUGCCGGUGACAAACCGGAGGAAGGUGGGGAUGACGUCAAGUCAUCACGGCCCUUACGGCCUGGGCUACACACGUGCUACAAUGGUCGGUACAAAGGGUUGCCAAGCCGCGAGGUGGAGCUAAUCCCAUAAAACCGAUCGUAGUCCGGAUCGCAGUCUGCAACUCGACUGCGUGAAGUCGGAAUCGCUAGUAAUCGUGAAUCAGAAUGUCACGGUGAAUACGUUCCCGGGCCUU